CUUAUGCGUUGUUGGGUAGGGGAGCGUUCUGUAAGCCGUUGAAGGUGUGCUGUGAGGCAUGCUGGAGGUAUCAGAAGUGCGAAUGCUGACAUAAGUAACGAUAAAGCGGGUGAAAAGCCCGCUCGCCGGAAGACCAAGGGUUCCUGUCCAACGUUAAUCGGGGCAGGGUGAGUCGACCCCUAAGGCGAGGCCGAAAGGCGUAGUCGAUGGGAAACAGGUUAAUAUUCCUGUACUUGGUGUUACUGCGAAGGGGGGACGGAGAAGGCUAUGUCAGCCGGGCGACGGUUGUCCCGGUUUAAGCAUGUAGGCGGAGGUUCCAGGUAAAUCCGGUACCUUAUUAACGCUGAGGUGUGAUGACGAGGCACUACGGUGCUGAAGUGAUAAAUGCCCUGCUUCCAGGAAAAGCCUCUAAGCAUCAGGUAACACGAAAUCGUACCCCAAACCGACACAGGUGGUCAGGUAGAGAAUACCAAGGCGCUUGAGAGAACUCGGGUGAAGGAACUAGGCAAAAUGGUGCCGUAACUUCGGGAGAAGGCACGCUGAUAUGUAGGUGAAGCCCCUGCGGGCGGAGCUGAAAUCAGUCGAAGAUACCAGCUGGCUGCAACUGUUUAUUAAAAACACAGCACUGUGCAAACACGAAAGUGGACGUAUACGGUGUGACGCCUGCCCGGUGCCGGAAGGUUAAUUGAUGGGGUUAGCGGCAACGCGAAGCUCUUGAUCGAAGCCCCGGUAAACGGCGGCCGUAACUAUAACGGUCCUAAGGUAGCGAAAUUCCUUGUCGGGUAAGUUCCGACCUGCACGAAUGGCGUAAUGAUGGCCAGGCUGUCUCCACCCGAGACUCAGUGAAAUUGAACUCGCUGUGAAGAUGCAGUGUACCCGCGGCAAGACGGAAAGACCCCGUGAACCUUUACUAUAGCUUGACACUGAACACUGGUCCUUGAUGUGUAGGAUAGGUGGGAGGCUUUGAAGCGUGGACGCCAGUCUGCGUGGAGCCGCCCUUGAAAUACCACCCUUUAAUGGCUGGUGUUCUAACGUAGACCCGUGAUCCGGGUUGCGGACAGUGUCUGGUGGGUAGUUUGACUGGGGCGGUCUCCUCCCAAAGAGUAACGGAGGAGCACGAAGGUUGGCUAAUCCUGGUCGGACAUCAGGAGGUUAGUGCAAUGGCAUAAGCCAGCUUGACUGCGAGCGUGACGGCGCGAGCAGGUGCGAAAGCAGGUCAUAGUGAUCCGGUGGUUCUGAAUGGAAGGGCCAUCGCUCAACGGAUAAAAGGUACUCCGGGGAUAACAGGCUGAUACCGCCCAAGAGUUCAUAUCGACGGCGGUGUUUGGCACCUCGAUGUCGGCUCAUCACAUCCUGGGGCUGAAGUAGGUCCCAAGGGUAUGGCUGUUCGCCAUUUAAAGUGGUACGCGAGCUGGGUUUAGAACGUCGUGAGACAGUUCGGUCCCUAUCUGCCGUGGGCGCUGGAGAAUUGAGGGGGGCUGCUCCUAGUACGAGAGGACCGGAGUGGACGCAUCACUGGUGUUCGGGUUGUCAUGCCAAUGGCACUGCCCGGUAGCUAAAUGCGGAAGAGAUAAGUGCUGAAAGCAUCUAAGCACGAAACUUGCCCC
rnacentral:rRNA from 1 species